UGGUCAGGGUGUGUGCCUCGUUGGGUUUUAUGGCAGGGGGCGGGGGGAGGAGCGACCAUUUGAGCGCAGUCUGCUGCUGCUGACGAUGCAAAUUCGUGAGCAGCUCUUUGCAGCGUUUUGAAUAUGUUACUGUGCCCGUCCGGCCAGUAAAAGAAAUUGUUUUUGGGGAAUAUGGACUAACGAGGAGUCGACAUCAAAGACAGAGAGAGUGUACGGCCCCACAAGGGAGUCGACUUUGUCUAUUCAACUUCCGCCUAGUGCCCCGGCCAGUGCUUCUUCCUUCUUGGAGCUUCUAUUCGUUUCUAUUUUUAAUAAUUCAAGUUCGAGCUGUUUCUGGUCUGAGGCCUGGACACGCGCUGAGGCCGCACUUGUCCCAUCGUAACUGUUUGAGAAAUGUUGUGGAGAAAUGACAAAGUGACCGGAAGAUGAUACUGUAAUAAAAGAGGAGGCACGCAGCCAGAGCCGCCAACAGAACAGAAAAGAACAGAAAAGAACCAUGCGGACGGCACUGUGUGGCUCCACUGCUCGCAGAUGUCUGUGUGUUUGCCUAUAGGAAAUAGAAAACCAAGUACUGGAAAUGAA